UAUUUUGUUGUUUAUUUCUUAGGAAUUGAUAUUUCUACUGAGUUUACAGUUUGUUCAGUUCUCACCGAUAAACAUACAUAUUUAUUAUCAUUUGAAAAUGAAAAAAAGAAACAACCAGCUAUCAAUGGUGUAUUGAUAAAUGCUUCUUUACGUUGCUCCUGAUUCGCCUCAACAUUAAACUCUCACUCCUGUUAUCUUCAACUUCUCAAUCUUGUUUUACUUCUCAUUUUUUCUUCUCUUUUCUUCCAUUAAACUCUGUGUAUUAUCUUCACUUACUUUUUUCAUCUUAAAAUCUUCUCUUUCUUUUACUCCUGCUUCUUGGGAGGGAAAAGAAUCAAGAAUAUAAAUGUAUAUGUAUAAACGCACACACAACAUUCAUCUUGAUACACCAACACCACUAACAGAAACAACUGUAAAACAAAAACUGUGCUUGUGUCCUGCCAUUGGAUUUUCUGGUCAACUCUUUUUCCUCUUCUCCUCUUAACUCCAUUACCAUCGUGAACAUCUUAUUUUGUUUACAUCUUUUUGGUUAAUUAACAUUUUGUUUUACCAGUUAUUUGGUUCAAUUGGUAUUUUGUUUCAUCAAUAUUUUGUGAUCCAGUUUUUCAUCUUUUUUUUCGCCUCACACAAGUUUGCCAAAAUUAUCGCUAAACAGAGCUCUGGUUUAACUGCAAUGCAAUCGGUACCACACAACAUCUCAGUGGUACUAACCCAAUGGCUUCCACCAGCCAUUCGGGUUUCCUGGUCUUUCACUCCUGGGCCCGAUUUAAUUGAAUCAACUAGUCACCAUGAUAAAUCUUUUAAACUAUCAAAAAUGUUUCGCAUUGUCUACUUUCCUGUUGGUUCCAAAACACGAUAUGUUCAGGAAGUGCCUAUAAACAUGAGAAAUGUUACCAUUGAACAGUUAGUGCCAAACACGGAAUAUCAACUUCUCAUUAAUGUUGUCUCUAGUUCAGAUCUGAUAGGAAAUUCGAGUCAUUUCAUCCGUUUUGUUUCACCUGAUGGAGAACCACAUCGAUUUGUCCGAGGAGGAAUGAAUCCAUUGAGGAUAAGACUAGAUGUUGAUCCUGAAAUAAUUGUCCGACCAGGUGAAGCUAUUUUAGUCUCAUUCAUCUUAAUCUUUUGGGUCCUGGUAAUACUUUGGUUUAUUAAAAAAUGGGGCAAAAUAAGGACACUUGAGCCAACUCGACAUCGAACUGAUACUGAUAUAUCUUCCUUUUCUCAACAAACUCGAUUCACUUCCAUUGGAGGAGCCAAUAUACCUCAAGUACAUACCAGUGAUUCUCGCGACUCGCUUGAACUGGUUAACUGUACCUCAACGGGUAAUUUCCAACGACCACGCUUAAAUUCAGUUUUCCUAGUCAGUCCAUCUCGUCGAUCAUCGUUAUUACCGGAAGAGUACAAAAUACCUCGUCGUUAUAAAUCAGCAGAAGAUCUCAAAUCGCUAGUCUUACAAAUAACCCAGACAAAGGGUUUACACACCACUGGUCCAUAUGUUCACAAGUCUUCCUCAUUACAACCGCCAUUACCUUUAUCAUCAUCACCUUCUUACAAUGGUAUGUGAAAAAUUAGUUUAUCAAAUUCACUAAAUGUAAAAUAAAUUGAAAAGAGUCGAGCAAUAGAACAAUUAAUUAACAAAUUUCUGAAAACGUUAAAUGAAAGCUUUCAUUACGCCAUAACUUAACGGCUUUUUUAUCGGUUUAAUUAAACUACCCCUAGAUGGGGUGAGAGAGAGUUGAAAAAACAAAUGAUUUUUUUCGUUAAACAUUAAUAAUAACAUUAAAAGUAAAGUUUCAAUCUUAUCAUCAGAAAAUUCAUAAAACUAUUGUAUUGUUAUAAUAAUCAUCAUCAUCAAAAGGAAAUGAAAAUUUUGUUUCUUGUGAAAGACUUUUUCUGUGAACCCAGUGAACCUACUGUUUUCCUAAAAAAAGACCCAAUGUGCUUCUGUCAUCCUAAGUAACUGACAAAAUUAUUUUCAUAAUACAACUGCAAAUAUAUCUGAAGAUUACUUUUCUAGAAGAAAAGGAAAAUGGAAGUGAUGAAGAAUAGAAAACUGAGGAAGAAAAGAAGGAGAAAUAUCCUUCCAUUAUCAUCAUCAUUCUUGUUGAAAUUGCUGGAUUCAACAUAAACCAUUGCAAUUUAAUGUCUUUUUACUUUAUCUAAAUCUCAGACAGUUUAUGUCUUAUUUAGCUUUUGUUGGUGCUUUUCCCUUUCAUGUUCAACUCUUUAGAGUGUGAUAUUGUAUUAAAUAUGGUUAUCAAAAACAACGAAGGAAAUCAUCUGUUCAUUCUGAUGAAACUGUUGAAGUAAAGGAGGAAUUGGACAAAAGACCGCUGAAAAUGAAGAGUAUCGAUGAAAAUGAAUGUGAUAGUGGGGAAAAUCGUCGUCAAAAUACUCAGUGAUUAAUUAACUAUGGAUAUAUGUAAUUAAUUAUGCACAGAAAGACACACGCAAUUGACUAUUCCAUCAUCAACAAAUGAACCUUUAACAAUAAUCAAUAACCAUGGGAUGAUUUACCAAAGUAAAUUAAACUGGUCAAAUUAAUGGAUACAGAGAGGAAUCCAAAGUAAUAAAAUACAAACGG